GACGAACGCUGGCGGCGUGCUUAACACAUGCCAGUCGAACGGAAAGGCCCUGCUUUUGUGGGGUGCUCGAGUGGCGAACGGGUGAGUAACACGUGAGUAACCUGCCCUUGACUUUGGGAUAACUUCAGGAAACUGGGGCUAAUACCGGAUAGGAGCUCCUGCUGCAUGGUGGGGGUUGGAAAGUUUCGGCGGUUGGGGAUGGACUCGCGGCUUAUCAGCUUGUUGGUGGGGUAGUGGCUUACCAAGGCUUUGACGGGUAGCCGGCCUGAGAGGGUGACCGGCCACAUUGGGACUGAGAUACGGCCCAGACUGCUACGGGAGGCAGCAGUGGGGAAUAUUGCACAAUGGGCGGAAGGCUGAUGCAGCAACGCCGCGUGCGGGAUGACGGCCUUCGGGUUGUAAACCGCUUUCGCCUGUGACGAAGCGUGAGUGACGGUAAUGGGUAAAGAAGCACCGGCUAACUACGU
rnacentral:rRNA from 1 species